GAUGAAGAACGUAGCGAAAUGCGAUAAGUAAUGUGAAUUGCAGAAUUCAGUGAAUCAUCGAAUCUUUGAACGCAUCUUGCGCUCCUUGGUAUUCUGAGGAGCAUGCCUGUUUGAGUGUCAUUAAAUUCUCAACCGCACUGACUUUGAAUUGGUGUGGCUUGGAUUUGGGGGCAAAAUUGUUGUGGGCUUUUUUGUAUAGUCUGCUCCCCUGAAAUUGAUUAGCGGUACCUUUGUGGAACUGUCUACAGGUGUGAUAAUUAUCUACAUCCUAGACAUCUGCUGGAAUGCUGCUUUCUAAACCUUACUUGUAUUGACAAUCUUGACCUCAAAUCAGGUAGGACUACCCGCUGAACUUAAGCAUAUCAAUAAGCGGAGGA
rnacentral:misc_RNA from 1 species